GAUGAACGCUGGCGGCGUGCUUAACACAUGCAAGUCGAACGGAAAGGCUCCUGCUUGCAGGGGUACUCGAGUGGCGAACGGGUGAGUAACACGUGGGUGAUCUGCCCUGCACUUCGGGAUAAGCCUUGGAAACUGGGUCUAAUACCGGAUAGGACGAUGGUUUGGAUGCCAUUGUGGAAAGUUUUUUCGGUGUGGGAUGAGCUCGCGGCCUAUCAGCUUGUUGGUGGAGUAAUGGCCUACCAAGGCGUCGACGGGUAGCCGGCCUGAGAGGGUGUACGGCCACAAUGGGACUGAGAGACGGACCAGACUCCUACGGGAGGCAGCAGUGGGGAAUCUUGCACAAUGGGCGCAAGCCUGAUACAGCGACGCCGGGUGGGGAAUGACGGCCUUCGGGUUGUAAACUCCUUUCGAUGGGGACGAAGCGCAAGUGACGGUACCUGGAGAAGAAGCCCCGGCUAACUACGUG
rnacentral:rRNA from 1 species